GAGGUAUUUCAAAAUGAAGGCUCAUACUGUACUACAGAACUCAGCUAGUAAUUUAUUUUUAAAAAACAAUGAAACAUGGCCAGAAACCUGGGCCACUAACCUAUUUGCAAUCAUUGGUUAAUUUUUGUGUGAUUUGGCAUCAUUGGCAAUAGGUCCAGCAUUCAUUGCCCAUGAGAAGUUAGUGCUGAGUCUCCUUCCUGGGCGAACUGCUGCAGUCGUUAUGAUCAAGAUUUUGUGGAUUACCUUUUGGAGAUUCAAAAUAACAAAAAAGAAAAAGGUCCCGAAGCAAAAGUUUGGGCACCCUGCAUGAUGGUGUGAUGUUUGUGUAACCCCCUGGGUCGCCUCAGGCUCGCUCAGCUCGUUCUCGUCUAGGGGGAGCAGCCUUUGGCCCCGCCAAACUGGGUAAUCAGCUGGUGUGGAUGCUGUGUGAUGUCCCCGCCUCACCCAAAAACAGACAGUACACCAUAAGCGAUUAAAUGAGUACUAUUUAUAAAGUUGUCAUUACCCAGCUAUAUGAAGGAUGACAUUAAACUGGAAAGGAUACAGAAGAGAUUGACAAGGACAGAGUCACGGAAAAAUACAGCACAGAAACAAGCCCUUUGGUUCAUCUAGUCCAGGGGUCGGCAACGUUUACCACUGAAAGAGCCAAUAUGGACCCAUUUCCCACAGAAAAGAAAACACUGGGAGCCACAAAAUGAAAUAACACUGCAUACAACGGUUUUUUUUUGCCUUUAUGCUAUGUAUAAACAAACUAUAAUGUGUUGCAUUUAUGAAAUUGAUAAACUCCUGCAGAGAAAACGAAAUUACAUUUCUGCAUGCAACAAAAACAUUUUGAACUCCGAAAAAAAGACGUUGGGUUGAAGGUUACUCCAUAGUUAGCCUACCUUGGAUCGAAGAAUUAAAAGAAAGCGCGCACUGGCGGGUGUCAGGCAUUGGCAGUUGUGAUGUAUAUUAAUAGCGAUAAAAAAAACACGUUGUAGCGGUGUGCUAAAAUAAAGACUGCAGUCAAAGGUAACUUUAUUCGAACUAAACAGCCUUGCUUUAAAGCCUCCCUCAACCCGUCCCCGUGGGCGCGGAUGCUCCAAAAGACACGUACUCACAAACCCCCAUAGGCUAUCUCCCUUAGCCGGAACGGUGGCUAAUUGUGAGCCGGUUCAGAUGUGCCAGGAAAUGGUGUCUCCACAAAGUUUUUAGAUUGUACAAGAUCACCAUAAUCUUCA